rnacentral:Y_RNA from 1 species
GGUUGGUCCAAGUGCAGUGGUGUUUACAACUAAUUGAUCAUAACCAGUUACAGAUACCUUUGUUCCUUCUCCAUUCCCACUGCUCCACUUAACCAGCCUUUA